rnacentral:rRNA from 1 species
UUGGAGAGUUUGAUCCUGGCUCAGAGCGAACGUUGGCGAUGCGUCUUAAGCAUGCAAGUCGAGCGGGCUUAUUCGGGCAACUGGAUAAGUUAGCGGCGAACUGGUGAGUAACACGUAGGUAAUCUGCCGUAGAGCGGGGGAUAACCCAUGGAAACAUGGACUAAUACCGCAUAUACUCUUGCUACACAAGUAGAGUAGAGGAAAGGAGUAAUCCGCUUUACGAUGAGCCUGCGGCCUAUUAGCCUGUUGGUGGGGUAAUGGCCUACCAAAGCUACGAUAGGUAGCCGACCUGAGAGGGUGACCGGCCACAUUGGGACUGAGAUACGGCCCAGACUCCUACGGGAGGCAGCAGCUGAGAAUCUUCCACAAUGGACGAAAGUCUGAUGGAGCGACAUCGCGUGAGGGAUGAAGGCCUUCGGGUUGUAAACCUCGGAAAUUAUCGAAGAAUGAGUGACAGUAGAUAAUGUAAGCCUCGGCUAACUACGUGCCAGCAGCCGCGGUA